rnacentral:rRNA from 1 species
CCUACGGGUUGCACCAGUGGGGAAUAUUGGACAAUGGGCGAAAGCCUGAUCCAGCAAUGCCGCGUGUGUGAAGAAGGUCUUCGGAUUGUAAAGCACUUUCGACGAGGACGAUGAUGACGGUACCCGUAGAAGAAGCCCCGGCUAACUUCGUGCCAGCAGCCGCGGUAAUACGAAGGGAGCUAGCGUUGCUCGGAAUGACUGGGCGUAAAGGGCGCGUAGGCGGUUUAUGCAGUCAGAUGUGAAAUCCCCGGGCUUAACCUGGGAACUGCAUUUGAGACGCAUAGACUAGAGGUCGAGAGAGGGUUGUGGAAUUCCCAGUGUAGAGGUGAAAUUCGUAGAUAUUCGGAGGAACACCAGUGGCGAAGGCGGCUUACUGGUCUGCAACUGACACUGAGGCGCGAAAGCGUGGGGAGCAAACAGGACUAGAUACCCGUGUAGUC